rnacentral:rRNA from 1 species
CCUACGGGAGGCAGCAGUAAGGAAUAUUGGACAAUGGUGGCAACACUGGUCCAGCCAUGCCGCGUGCAGGAUGACGGCCCUAUGGGUCGUAAACUGCUUUUGUACGGGAAAAAACCCUCGUUCGUGAACGAGGCUGAUGGUACCGUAAGAAUAAGGAUCGGCUAACUCCGUGCCAGCAGCCGCGGUAAUA